CCUACGGGAGGCUGCAGUGGGGAAUAUUGGACAAUGGGGGAAACCCUGAUCCAGCAACGCCGCGUGGAGGAUGAAGGUCUUCGGAUUGUAAACUCCUGUUAGGGGGGACGAAGGGAUGUCGGCGAACAGUCGGCAAACUUGACGGUACCCCCAGAGGAAGCCCCGGCUAACUCUGUGCCAGCAGCCGCGGUAAUACAGAGGGGGCAAGCGUUAUUCGGAAUUAUUGGGCGUAAAGGGCGCGUAGGCGGCCUUGUAAGUCUUGGGUGAAAUCCCUCAGCUCAACUGAGGAACUGCCUCGGAUACUGCAAGGCUUGAGGCCGGGAGAGGGUAGUGGAAUUCCCAGUGUAGCGGUGAAAUGCGUAGAUAUUGGGAGGAACACCGGUGGCGAAGGCGGCUACCUGGACCGGUUCUGACGCUGAUGCGCGAAAGCGUGGGGAGCAAACAGGAUUAGAUACCCCGGUAGUC
rnacentral:rRNA from 1 species